UUAUUAUUAUUAAAUAAUAGCUACUUAUUAUAAAAGUUAUAGAAACAAUUCAUUUAGAAAGUUGUCUGCUAUAAGCUAACCUCUCCACGACAACCACUUUUGGACAGUGGUUAUGUGUUUAUGCAGGUUUUCCCUUCAUAUCUUACUUCUUCAUUAAUACUGAUCUGCUUCAUUCUUCAUAACAGAACUGCAUUGUUUUCUUGAUUAACUCUUUAAAAAUUAUUUUUACAAUCUAAAAGUAAUACAAAAUUAUAGUAAGGAGGGCUUAGGUGAACCAUGACAUUCCACCUCCCGAUGUUCAACACUGUCACCAGUGUCUUAUGUAACCUUCCAGAAAUUUCCUGUGUUAUUUUAUUAUUUCACUUGUAAUCCAAGCAUGAUCACGCAAUACCUACUGUUCUGCAACUUGCUUUUUUCACCUAACGACAUCUUACACAACUCUUCCUAACAGCACGUAUUGCCCCCCUUAUUCCUGUUGAUGACUGCAUGGCAUUCCACUGUACAGAUGUCUAUAAUUUGUAUAUCUUGAUCCAAUUCUCAGCCACAUGCAACACCCACAUUUCAGGUCUUUGUUAGAAACAAGAGCUCACACUGUCUGCUGCCCAUUCUCUAACAAAAGCAGAGCUGAAAGGAGAAUUGCAAUUAUUCCACUUUGCAAGGAGAAUAGUUUGGAAAUGAGGCUGCGGUCAGUCCUUGCAUUCUUCUAGUGCGUAGGUCUCAUCCCUGAGUGAAGCCACCAUCAGUGAACUGCAUGUUCGGUCCGCACCUCCUGGGCCUCCCAAACAGGUGCCUUCCUAGGCCUGGCGCCUGGUCACCAGGAGGACGUGAAGGAUGCCCACUGCUGCGUGGCCCACGGGAUGUCCAUGCAGAACCAGUCUCGCUUCUUCCCAGGAGCUGCUCUGCUUUCCUAACGAGACUGAACAUCAGAAGACUUUUGGAAGAUGCUUCCCAGACAUGUCCCUUUCUGUUCUAAGGCCCGCUUCGCCCUGGCUCUGUUGAUGUGGAGAGGGUCAAAGGGUGCUGUGGAGAUGACAGAAGCCAGCGGGGUUAGGACAGCAGGUGGCCUGACUGGAGAGAUCUGCAGUUCAAGGACAUUGGGCCAAAAUUCAUUUGAAAUGAGGUGUGGGGGCUGCUAGGGUGCUUUUAGCAGGGCCCACUCCUUCACCCCUGAGUUUAAUGGGCUUUUUCUAAGCCUGAAAAGUGCCUCCUGUCCUAACAGCACCACCACUCCUGGGAUUAGCUUGGAAACCAACAAGGCCAGUUUGGGACUUGGCAAUGCUUUCAGCGUCAGAGUCAGGAGGGACCUGGGCCUUCCACUAACUGAGGGACAGGGGUGGCAGCCCCUAGAACCCAGCGGGUUAGAUGCUGUCCUGUCACCUACAAGAGGAAUGGCUGUGAUAAAAUAAUAACCAGGAACCGUAGGUGACCCAGUUUGAACAAAGGGGGCUGAGGAUCGAUGCCCUGCAGUCACUGCCUGCUUUGUGGGUCCUUUCGCAACAACGUUAUAUAUUAUAUGCAAAUCUCGGCACAAACUUAA